GACGAACCGUGCGAACGUUAUUCGGAAUCACUGGGCUUAAAGCGCGUGUAGGCGGGCCGGCACGUCCGCGGCUGAAAUCCCCCGGCUCAACCGGGGAAGGGGCCCGGAUACGACCGGCCUGGAGGGGGGUAGGGGGCGCCGGAACUCACGGUGGAGCGGUGAAAUGCGUUGAGAUCAUGAGGAACGCCCGUGGCGAAAGCGGGCGCCUGGACCCCGCCUGACGCUGAGACGCGAAAGCCAGGGGAGCGAACG
rnacentral:rRNA from 1 species